rnacentral:misc_RNA from 1 species
GGCUGACCACCUUGCUGAUCCCGUUAACAACAAUGCUUGGGCCUACGCGACCAACUUCGUCCCCGGCAAGUGAAGUGGGGGACCGUAGCUUAGCAGUGGUUAAUUGUGGUUGGAUGGAUUUGUGGCCAGCGAGUUCGUUGUCUUUGGGUUGGGGAAGAUGGGUUUAGUGCGACGAGAUGAUGAUCGAGUUGGUGUUGUGUACACUAAGAAGAUGAAGAAGAAGAUGAUGUUUUUGCAAUAAUGAUUUUAUUCGUUUCCCAACUAAUGGUCUAGGUACUUAUCCGUGGUGUUAUUCUGAUUAGCGGAUUUCUCAUCUCUAUUAGAUCGGAAACAAAUACU